rnacentral:rRNA from 1 species
GACGUAGGGCGCGAGCGUUGUCCGGAUUUAUUGGGCGUAAAGAGCUCGUAGGCGGCUUGUCGCGUCGAAUGUGAAAUCCUGCGGCUCAACUGCAGGCUUGCAUUCGAUACGGGCAGGCUCGAGUUCGGUAGGGGAGACUGGAAUUCCUGGUGUAGCGGUGAAAUGCGCAGAUAUCAGGAGGAACACCGGUGGCGAAGGCGGGUCUCUGGGACGGUACUGACGCUGAGACGCGAAAGCGUGGGGAGCGAACAGG